rnacentral:rRNA from 1 species
GACGUAGGGCGCGAGCGUGUCCGGAUUUAUUGGGCGUAAAGAGCUCGUAGGCGGCUUGUUACGUCGACUGUGAAACCCGCGGCUCAACUGCGGGCCUGCAGUCGAUACGGGCAGGCUAGAGUUCGGUAGGGGAGACUGGAAUCCUGGUGUAGCGGUGAAAUGCGCAGAUAUCAGGAGGAACACCGGUGGCGAAGGCGGGUCUCUGGGCCGAUACUGACGCUGAGGAGCGGAAAGCGUGGGGAGCGAACAGG